UUCCGCUUCCCGUACGAUCACCAAAGUUAAGCAACGUCAAUUCUGGUCAGUACCUAUAUGGGUGACCACUUAGGAAUACCAGGUGUUGUAAG